rnacentral:snRNA from 1 species
AGAUAACGCAGGUGUCCUAA